UCCGAAGAUCCUAUGCAAGGUUUCAAUGUUCGACUACAGGCUGAAGCAGAUACAGAUGAAGUUUUUGCACAGAUAACUUUAUUGCCGGAUGCAAAUCAAAGUGAGGUCUUAAGUCCAGACACC